GGGCUCGUAGCUCAGUCUGGCUAGAGCGCCGCCCUUGCAAGGCGGAGGCCUCGGGUUCAAUUCCCGACGAGUCCA
rnacentral:tRNA from 1 species